rnacentral:lncRNA from 1 species
GGACCAAUUAUGUAAACUAUACCAACAAUAAGCAUAAAGUCACAACCCCGACACUCAGCACAUAGACAAAUCGUAAGUCCACACAUAGUUCAAAAUCCCGUGGAGUAAAGUGUAUACAGAACAUCACCGUGAAAAGUGCCACGUAGUCCAUGCAAGUGAGACUCAAAACCUUAAAUUAGUAAGAAAAGACACGUGAAAACAACCAGACAGAGGUGUAUGUCUACCAAGUGACAGUCAAAUCCAAUUCCACGAGGACCUAUAUCAAAUAUUACGAUUGUCACAAUUUUA